AAGUCGUAACAAGGUUUCCGUAGGUGAACCUGCGGAAGGAUCAUUAAUAAAAGGAUACCCUCGGGUAUACCCCAUCCGUGUCUACAUACUCUUGUUGCUUUGGCAGGCCGUGGUCUCCCACUGUGGGCUCUGCCUGCAUGUGCCUGCCAGAGGACCAAACUCUGAAUGUUAGUGAUGUCUGAGUACUAUAUAAUAGUUAAAACUUUCAACAACGGAUCUCUUGGUUCUG
rnacentral:misc_RNA from 1 species